rnacentral:misc_RNA from 1 species
UACGGAGGGUGCAAACGUUGCUCGGAAUCACUGGGCGUAAAGCGCACGUAGGCGGCCGUGUAAGUUGGAUGUGAAAGCCCUGGGCUCAACCCAGGAAGUGCAUCCAAAACUGCAUGGCUUGAGUGCCGGAGGGGCUCAGAGAAUUCCCGGUGUAGAGGUGAAAUUCGUAGAUAUCGGGAGGAAUACCAGUGGCGAAGGCGCUGAGCUGGACGGUAACUGACGCUGAGGUGCGAAAGCGUGGGUAGCAAACAGG